rnacentral:rRNA from 1 species
GGACGACGCCGCGUGGAGGAUGAAGGUCUUCGGAUUGUAAACUCCUGUCAUGAGGGAGUAAGACACAGCGUUAACUGCGUAUGUGUUUGAUAGUACCUCAGGAGGAAGAGACGGCUAACUCUGUGCCAGCAGCCGCGGUAAUACAGAGGUCUCAAGCGUUGUUCGGAUUCAUUGGGCGUAAAGGGUGCGUAGGUGGCAAGGCAAGUCAGAUGUGAAAUCCCCGGGCUCAACCUGGGAACUGCAUUUGAUACUGCCGUGCUCGAGUGCUGGAGGGGAGACUGGAAUUCACGGUGUAGCAGUGAAAUGCGUAGAUAUCGUGAGGAAGACCGGUGGCGAAGGCGAGUCUCUGGACAGCAACUGACACUGAGGCACGAAGGCUAGGGGAGCAAACGGGAUUAGAUACCCCGGUAGUCCUAGCAGUAAACGGUGCGCGUUUGGUAUGGGGGGAUCGACCCCUUCCGUGCCGGAGCUAACGCGCUAAACGCGCCGCCUGGGGAGUACGGUCGCAAGAUUAAAACUCAAAGAAAUUGACGGGGGCCCGCACAAGCGGUGGAGUAUGUGGCUUAAUUCGAUGCAACGCGAAGAACUUACUUA